GUGGGGAAUCUUAGACAAUGGGGGAAACCCUGAUCUAGCCAUGCCGCGUGAGCGAUGAAGGCCUUAGGGUUGUAAAGCUCUUUCAGCUGGGAAGAUAAUGACGGUACCACCAGAAGAAGCCCCGGCUAACUCCGUGCCAGCAGCCGCGGUAAUACGGAGGGGGCUAGCGUUGUUCGGAAUUACUGGGCGUAAAGCGCACGUAGGCGGAUUGGAAAGUUGGGGGUGAAAUCCAGGGGCUCAACCCCGGAACUGCCUUCAAAACUCCCAGUCUUGAGUUCGAGAGAGGUGAGUGGAAUUCCGAGUGUAGAGGUGAAAUUCGUAGAUAUUCGGAGGAACACCAGUGGCGAAGGCGGCUCACUGGCUCGAUACUGACGCUGAGGUGCGAAAGCGUGGGGAGCAAACAGGAUUAGAAACCCGAGUAGUCC
rnacentral:rRNA from 1 species